AAUAGAUUAACUUUGCCAGAGAGGAUUUGGGGGAAAAGGGAAACUCAGAUUUUCCCCAAAAUAUAUUUUCAGAUGUAUUCCCUUCACCCCUGACUUCAUCGUCAGAUAUAUGAACAUCUGCUUAACGUUUCUGCUGUGGUGAUUUUCUGAACCACGUGCAGGCCGCCGGUUUCUUCCGCCUUCAACCCACUCCCAGAACAAAGCAGUGCUCUCAAUCAGGAUUUAUUCCUGCUGGCUGGGAAUGACAAAGGAGCAGAGCAAUUCCUUGGUAUCAACUACUUGGGGAAGGAAAGAAGAACACUAGACGGGGCUAUAAUCAUGAAGAGGAUGUGGCUGGAGUUAGAGAAAGUGUACGCAAUCAUGAAGAGUGGGCAACAACAUCCGUAAAUUGCCUCAGGAGCCACAGAGUGGCCAAUGAGGACUUUCUGUGCAGAAAAUCAGAAUGGAACAUUGAAUACUUGCAAACAUGGUCCUUGUCCAUUCAAAGCAGAAGAAAAAGUUAGAAUUCAGUGGCUAUGCUUACAUAUGAUUGAGAACUGCAAUACAGUGAGCAACAUAAAUAUCUUUCUUAAAAUUUUAGUUAUCUU